AGCGCUUUUCCAUGGGAUUCCGGGACCGUUUGGGAUGAAGCCCCUGGACGUCCCUGCUAGCCUUGUCUCUCCAGGCCACCCUCCUUCCCACUGCAGACCGCCGCUGCCCUGCCUCUGCUGCCCCAUCCCACGGGCAAUCCUGCCUCCUGCCAGCCCUUGGCCUGGGCUCUGGGCUGCCUCACGCCCUGCCUCGCCAUCCUUUCACAACUCUGUCCUCACCUAUCGCUUCCUGUCUCCCCUGCCGUGUGGGGAUGGCUCCCGCACUCCCUGUCACAUCUGCAGCCAUACAUAAUUGUACCCCUUGGUCUGGCCUUGCCAGCAUAGGCAGGACCCCUGCCGAAUCCAGUCCGAGCUGUAGGAGGCUGGUACUGUGUAGAGCAUCUGCAGGCCCCCAGGCCUGUCCCCAGCUUCGCCGCUGCCCCCUCCACACAGACCCCAGCGGCAGAGCCUUGCUGUGUGGAGUGUCGCACGUGCCACUGCAUGGACGCCCUUUGAGAGUCUGCAGGGAAUGCUGGCGGGAGUCAUCGUAUGGUGAGCCGUGGUCCACGUCCAGAUCCAUCUCAACUUGUAAAAUGGAUUUUUUAAAGGUGUUAAACCUUCCUUCACCUCAAACACAGUCUUUCUGAUGGGCCUGCAAUGUUGAUAAGUUCUUGCGGGCAGACGCCAAGGAGAGGAAGGCCUGGGCGGUGCAGCUGUGGGAAGCAGGCCGCUCUUCCUGUAGCCUUGCCACACCACGACCUGCCCAUGAGCAGGGAGAGUCCAGACCACGUCCUUCCCCUCCUCCCUCCCCUCCUGGGCAUCGCACCAGAUAGACAAGGGUGGAUGUGGACCGACACAAGCUGCCUAAAGCCAGAGGCCGGCACCCAACUGGCUCCCGAUGGUCCUCAGUUAUUCAUUGCUUGGUUGAAAGUGAGGUUAAGAAACCAGUUCCCUGUAGAUUCCACGAGUGAUUGCAGCAGGGAGUGGACCUCGGCCAACGUGGAACCACCACCGCAGUCCCAAGACGCGUGUGUUUCGGUGAACUUCGUCAUAAGAUUACAUCAUCUUCAUAUUUUUGUUUGCAACGAGGAACGCACAGGAUGUAAUAUGAUGGGUGUCAGUCAGAUACCAGAAAAGGAAGAGGCAGUACUGUCAAGAUUUUUCAACAGUUAG
rnacentral:lncRNA from 1 species